rnacentral:lncRNA from 1 species
UAGUGUUUUGUCCCCUUGAAAUAUUAUACCUUGAAUAAAGUGUCAAAAGAUAACAAUAAUAAUAUUCAAGGUAAAAAUGCAAUUAUUCCAAAUAAUAAUAUUCAAGGUAAAAAUACAAUUCUCCCAAUUUGACUUUUAACUUUGACUUAAACCCUUAACUCAAACGAUUAAUUAAUUAACUGGAGUUAGGUUGAAUAUCGAUUGACUUAUUUAACCCCUAUUGAUUAAUAGUGUAAUUAGGGUUUAAAUUGACAUGAUUAAAAUAUAAUCCUAUGUCGACAAUUUUGAUUCUACAUUCUCCCCCUUUGUCGAUGGCAUAUAUGUUUUAAUUCAUGUUUAGUCAAUAUUCUAUUUUACCCUUAUGAGCAUGCUCCCCCUGAAUUAUUGACCCAUAAUAUUCAAUUUAAAAGCAGUGGAUCAUGCAUGAUUUCUCUCCCUUAAAACAAUAAGGUAUCGACAAAGUUAAAAUAGAUACCUGUGAAGUAUCUACCCCUUAAUGAUAGGAUAUAUCUAAUUUGUGGAGAAAAUAAAACUUCAUACCUUAUUGAGCUUUGAUCACAAAUUCGAUUUGUGUGGUUGACCAAAUGUGACUUCUUGCUUAUAAAAGUGUUAGUCAAUCAUAAAGGAGAAAUAACAUGUAAUUUAUGCUCAUUGAUAAAAUAUUGGAUUGAAGCCAAUUUUGAUAUACAUUAUAAGGCAAAUAUGAUAUGAUAAUUUAAAUUGCCUUGUGUUAAGAUCAUGCAAUGAAUAAUAUUCCAUGUGUGUGUUAUGGAUGAAGAUGAUCUUAACAUGUAUGGAUUAAAGAUUUUAUAAUGUUAUAAUCCAUUAGUGAAUGAUAUGUAUAAAUUCAUAAUAUUCACUAAUUGCUUUAAGAAGAAAUUGAGCAUUUAAAUUUUUUAAAAUCUAUGUCUUAGUGACAAAUAUAAUCAUGUAAAUAUUCACUAAGUU